UACGAAGGGGGCUAGCGUUGUUCGGAAUACUGGGCGUAAAGCGUAUGCAGGCGGAUCGUUAAGUCGGGGGUGAAAUCCCGGAGGCUCAACCUCGGAACUGCCUUCGAUACUGGCGACCCUUCGAGUCCGGGAGAGGUGAGUCGGAACUCCGAGUGUAGAGGUGAAAUUCGUAGAAUAUUCGGAAGAACACCAGUGGCGAAGGCGGGCUACACCUCG
rnacentral:rRNA from 1 species